UCGGGCUUAGUGGCGCACGGGUGCGUAACGCGUGGGAAUCUGCCCUUGGGUUCGGAAUAACAGUUAGAAAUGACUGCUAAUACCGGAUGAUGUCUUCGGACCAAAGAUUUAUCGCCCAAGGAUGAGCCCGCGUAGGAUUAGGUAGUUGGUGGGGUAAAGGCCUACCAAGCCGACGAUCCUUAGCUGGUCUGAGAGGAUGAUCAGCCACACUGGGACUGAGACACGGCCCAGACUCCUACGGGAGGCAGCAGUGGGGAAUAUUGGACAAUGGGGGAAACCCUGAUCCAGCAAUGCCGCGUGAGUGAUGAAGGCCUUAGGGUCGUAAAGCUCUUUUACCCGGGAUGAUAAUGACAGUACCGGGAGAAUAAGCUCCGGCUAACUCCGUGCCAGCAGCCGCGGUAAUACGGAGGGAGCUAGCGUUGUUCGGAAUUACUGGGCGUAAAGCGCGCGUAGGCGGUUAUUCAAGUCAGAGGUGAAAGCCCGGGGCUCAACCCCGGAACUGCCUUUGAAACUAGAUGACUAGAAUCUUGGAGAGGUCAGUGGAAUUCCGAGUGUAGAGGUGAAUUCGUAGAUAUUCGGAAGAACACCAGUGGCGAAGGCGACUGACUGACAAGUAUUGACGCUGAGGU
rnacentral:rRNA from 1 species